AUCGUAAAUGGAUAACUGUGGAAAAGCUAGAGCUAAUACAUGCACCAAAGCUUUGUCCUCUCGGAAAAGCGCAUUUAUUAGAACAAAACCACGCGGCUUCGGCUGCUUCUUGUUGACUCAGAAUAACUAAGCUGACCGCAUUUUGCAAGGUCCCUUGUGCCGGCGGCGUGUCUUUCAAGCGUCCACUUUAUCAACUUGACGGGAGCAUAAUCGACUCCCGUGGUGACGGAUAACGGAGGAUCAGGGUUCGACUCCGGAGAAGGGGCCUGAGAAAUGGCCACUACGUGGCAGCAGGCGCGCGCAAAUUACCCACUCUCGGCUCGAGGAGGUAGUGACGAGAAAUAACGAGACUGUUCUCUUUGAGGCCGGUCAUCGGAAUGGGUACAAUUUAAACCCUUUAACGAGUAUCAAGCAGAGGGCAAGUCUGGUGCCAGCCAGCCGCGGUAAUUCCAGCUCUGCUAAUACAUAGAAUUAUUGCUGCGGUUAAAAAGCUCGUAGUUGGAUUCGCUAUCGGUACCUUGGAACCCUUCGGGUGUUUCUGGGUGUUAUCGAUUUAUCGUAAUUUGAGUCCUUAACAGGGAUUCUUAACAGUCAUUGCAAGUUUACUUUGAACAAAUCAGAGUGCUUCAAACAGGCGUUUUCGCUUGAAUGAUCGUGCAUGGAAUAAUAGAAAACGAUUUCGGUUCAGUUUUAUUGGUUUUACGGACUGAGAUAAUGGUUAACAGAGACAAACGGGGGGCAUUUGUAUGGCCCCGUGAGAGGUGAAAUUCUUGGACCGUGGCCGAGACAAACUACAGCGAAAGCAUUUGCCAAGAAUGUCUUUCAUUAAUCAAGAAG
rnacentral:rRNA from 1 species